GACGGAGGGUGCUAGCGUUGUUCGGAAUUACUGGGCGUAAAGGGCGCGUAGGCGGCUGCUCAAGUCGGGUGUGAAGCCCGGGCUCAACCCCGGAACGGCACCCGAGACUGGGCGGCUCGAGACCGGGAGAGGUGGGUGGAAUACCCAGUGUAGAGGUGAAAUUCGUAGAUAUUGGGUGGAACACCGGUGGCGAAAGCGGCUACACGUGGCCCGGUUCGUCGACGCUGAGGCGCGAAAGCGUGGGGAGCAAACAGG
rnacentral:rRNA from 1 species